rnacentral:rRNA from 1 species
CUUGGUCAUUUAGAGGAAGUAAAAGUCGUAACAAGGUUUCCGUAGGUGAACCUGCGGAAGGAUCAUUACAGAGUUCAUGCCCUUCGGGGUAGACCUCCCACCCUAUGUAUACAUUGCCUUUGUUGCUUUGGCGGACCGCCUUUCGGCCACCGGCUUCGGUUGGUGCGUGUCCGCCAGAGAACCCCAAACCCUGUCUUACAGUGUCGUCCGAGUACUAUAUAAUAGUUAAAACUUUCAACAACGGAUCUCUUGGUUCUGGCAUCGAUGAAGAACGCAGCGAAAUGCGAUAAUUAAUGUGAAUUGCAGAAUUUAGUGAAUCAUCGAAUCUUUGAACGCACAUUGCGCCCCUUGGUAUUCCGGGGGGCAUGCCUGUUCGAGCGUCAUUUCAACCCUCAAGCUCUGCUUGGUAUUGGGCCGCGCCGGCAACGGCGGGCCUCAAACAUAGUGGCGGCGCCAUCGUGUCCCUCAGCGUAGUAAUUCUUCUCGCUGUUGGGUUCCGGUGAACGCUGGCCAGCAACCCCCAAUUUUCUAUGGUUGACCUCGGAUCAGGUAGGGAUACCCGCUGAACUUAAGCAUAUCAAUAAGCGGAGGAAAAGAAACCAACAGGGAUUGCCUCAGUAACGGCGAGUGAAGCGGCAACAGCUCAAAUUUGAAAUCUGGCUCUUUUAGGGUCCGAGUUGUAAUUUGUAGAAGAUGCUUUGGGUGUGGCUCCGGUCUAAGUUCCUUGGAACAGGAUGUCAUAGAGGGUGAGAACCCCGUAUGUGACUGGUUGCCUCCCCCGUGUAAAGCUCUUUCGACGAGUCGAGUUGUUUGGGAAUGCAGCUCAAAAUGGGUGGUAAAUUUCAUCUAAAGCUAAAUAUUGGCCAGAGACCGAUAGCGCACAAGUAGAGUGAUCGAAAGAUGAAAAGCACUUUGGAAAGAGAGUUAAACAGUACGUGAAAUUGUUGAAAGGGAAGCGCUUGCAAUCAGACUUGCGCGCGGCCGAUCAUCCGAGGUUUUCCCCGGUGCACUCGACCGCGCUCAGGCCAGCAUCGGUUUCGGUGGUGGGAUAAAGGCCUUGGGAAUGUGACUCCUCUCGGGGAGUGUUAUGGCCCUCGGUGCAAUGCCGCCUAUCGGGACCGAGGACCGCGCUUCGGCUAGGAUGCUGGCGUAAUGGUUGCAAGCGACCCGUCUUGAAACACGGACC